rnacentral:rRNA from 1 species
AGAUUGAACGCUAGCGGGAUGCUUUACACAUGCAAGUCGAACGGCAGCGCGGACUUCGGUCUGGCGGCGAGUGGCGAACGGGUGAGUAAUAUAUCGGAACGUGCCCAGUAGCGGGGGAUAACUACGCGAAAGCGUGGCUAAUACCGCAUACGCCCUACGGGGGAAAGGGGGGAUUCUUCGGAACCUCUCACUAUUGGAGCGGCCGAUAUCAGAUUAGCUAGUUGGUGAGGUAAAGGCUCACCAAGGCGACGAUCUGUAGCUGGUUUGAGAGGACGACCAGCCACACUGGACUGAGACACGGCCCAGACUCCUACGGGAGCAGCAGUGGGGAAUUUUGGACAA